UCAGGGGAAGCUAAUUUUGACAAACUUAUGAACAAUUAAACAAACCAUAACCCGUCCUUGUAACGUUUAACCAGAUUAGCAAGACUUCGUUAUUUUGAGGGGAAAUGCGUAAAAAGGGAUGUUUUCCAUGGGGUCCUUGAACGCAGCACAACCAACAGCAGGUGAUUCGCGUUUCUUGGUGAUGUCACGGCGAGUAUAAAACCGUUCCAGCGCGUCUUCUGCGUCUACUGAGCACCAGAAGCGCAUUUUGGCUCCGGAGUUUGCACCAGACAUCAUCACCAUGAACAAGCUGUGCGUCGCUGUGGUCGUAACUCUCCUGCUGACCUUCUACCUCUCAGCUCAGGUGGUCCGGGCGGCUAACGGCACCAGCUCCAACUCCAGCAACGCCAGCCCCGAGCACGGCUCCCCCUCCACCCUGCUCCUGCUCCCCCUCACCGUGGGGACUGCUCUCCUCCUCAGCCGGUUUGGGUGAUGGCCCGGUCCGAGCUGCGCAGCUGGGAGUGUGGAUGGAUAACCCUAACCUGCGUGGCUCAUCUUUGUUCGUUUUCUGCUGGGUGAGGGUAGUUCGGGCCGAAGCGCGCGCGCGCAGGACCCCCCGGUCUUCACUGGUUCAUGGACUAAACUUCUGCUUGAGGGAGAUGUAGUUGGGUUAAUGUGAGAAUGUGUGAAGUCACCUCUUUGCCUUGAAUGAAAAGGUUGUAAUAAGAUGUUUUAGAUUUUAUAAAUUGAAUAAAUCUACUGAUCAGAA